AAUAAAAGAUUCUAAGCUAAUGGAAACCGUCCAUUCACAUACACCAUUGCUCUCCAAAACCAACUUUCUUGAGUAGCAAAUUUCCUUAAGCCAUGGCUCUUCACCACCACCAUACAUAACCCAACAAAACCGAUCAGUAAACCCAUCUAAAGUCCUAAAGAUACAAGAUUAAUGGAAGAAGGAUUUGGAAGCUGGACAGACAAAUAAUGAAAAAAGGACGGAUGGAAAAGUGGAUCGGCUCACAAUUUUUGAAAUAUCUUUAGCAAGCAAUGUGGACUUGUGGAUGGAGCUCUCAUAUGUGUUUCGGCCGCUACAAUCUACAUCAUCAACAUGUUAUAAAAUAUCAUUUUUUUCCUCUUAAUUAUUUGAUAUAUAUUAUAUCCUUGCGAACUUAAAUGCAUGAUGUUUUGGUCAUAUUAGUACUGUAACAUUGUUUCGUGUUAAUAGUGGCACUCAUCAUUUUAUGAGUCUUUUUUUUCGU